UCUUGCAUGAUCAUGGAUUCCUCUCCCUCCAAUAUUAAAUUCGCUUUGCUUUGGUUGCUAUGUGUAUUCAUGUUCAACUCAAUUAUGUGCAGUUUGAAAGUUCACUGCAACGAGAAGGACAUGAACACACUCCUACACUUCAAACAAGAAGUCAUAGAUCCUUCAGGCUUGCUCUCCUCUUGGUUCACUGAACAUGAUUGUUGUGAGUGGACAGGAGUUCACUGUGACAAUAUCACGGGCAGAGUUACAGAGCUCAAUCUCCCUUGUCAUACAAAUCACUCUGUAGUCUUUGUUUAUGGAAAGGAGGAGGAGGACAAAUCACACUGCUUAACAGGUCCUUGAUGUCCAUGCUUCAACAAGUUACUUCACCCAGAGGUUUUGCAAGAGGCCACAAGGUUGCUUUUGUUAUUGAAGAUAUACAAAUAAGAAAAGUGGCUUGUGUACCUAGGGACUAAAAAGGAUCGGAAUCUCUUGAAGACAUAUAAGUAACUUGUGCAACAAGUAAGCGUAUUGGUAAAGCUUCAAGAGGUAAGCUCUAUGUUUAAGGAGACUUUUCCUGCUUGAGUGCUCCACCAUGGUUAGUGAACUAUGGUUGGACUGUAUGACUGUUAUUUAGAUGCUUUGUAUAGAUGCAUUCAUAUAGAGUUAUUCGAUAACAUGAUAUGUUUUGCUCUGAUAUGACUUCUGUAAUAUGAUUUCUGUAACAAUCUCUGGCCAUUGAUUGUAUAGUACCCGGAUGUCCGCUUUGGGGUCCUCCCUCGGGACUGAUGGUGUACGCCUCUGAUAUGUCUGGUUCCGCUUUGGGGUCUCCCUCGGGAACACGUGCGUUGAUUUCCGCUUGGGGUCCUCCCUUGGGAAUGACGGCGCACACCUCUGAUAUGAUAUGGAUAAAUGCUCUGUUCUGUUAUGAUAUUUGUUAUAUGUUGUAUUCGUAUACUCUGUAUCUGACUUUCGUGCAGGAGUGAGCCAGGAGUAUGGAGAAUUCUCUAUAAACUUGGAGCUUAUUGAGAUUUGUAAUCUCGCCCCUUGUUGGGGACAUAUUUUCAAGUGCCCAGAUUCCCGGUGAGUCCUCACUAGGCAGGGACGCGACACGUGGCUGAGGCAGUUGACGGAUCGGAUUUUGAGUGGCUAUAGGCUACUACUUUUUGGAAGUAUAUUCAUGUCAUUUUGUAUUUCCACCUUUGAUGGAUCAUGACAUUGAUCCUUUAUUUUGUAUAUGGCAUGUAUAUGUUUUGUACAUGUCUGUCAGUUUGAUGCAUGUACAUUUGAGUAUUCAGGCACGGUAUAUGAUGAUGUAAUAUUCAGAUAUGUUUACGUGUUGGAUUGCAUGCUGUUAGAUAUAGUGGCACUGAGCCAAGUUAUGCAUGCGCCCAUGGAUGGGCAUUUGAUUAUAUUUGUAUAAACUGUUUAUCAGGAAAUGCUUCUGAGUGGGAUUGAAAAAUCCCCAAUUGUCCGAUUUAUAGAGGAA